GGCAUGGUGAUGGUGGUCUCCCCGCCGCCACCGCCACCGCCACUGGCGCCGUCGCGGGGCGGGACGACGGCCGGGACGUCGCAGCAGCAGACGCGCCCGGCCCCUUGCUUGUAGAGGCAGAGCCCGACCCAGGCGUCCAGCUCGCGGUCGUAGUGCGCCUGGCCUUUGAACGGCAGGAGCCACUCGCCGACGUGGGGUCCACUCGUGGCGCUCCAUGUCGAAGCUGAAGGUGCUCCGCCGGCAGUCGAGGUGGUGCCGGCAGAUCCUGCCGGGGAUGUCGGGCCUCCAGUUCUCGACGGACACGAACACGGUGCGCCCGUCCGGGUGCACCGCGUAGCCGCUGACGACGCUGGACACGAACGGCGGCGGCGGCUCGAUGCUGGCCCACGACCACGACGACCCGUCGCCGUCGGUUGGCCGCGGCAGCUCGGGGCCGACCAUCUCGACGAAAGGGUAGACGAACGCCAGGAGCCUGCCGCCGGCGGAGAUGUACAGGGGCCGGCUUCCGAAGUCACCGUGUAGAGAGCUCUCCGGGUGGGGCCACACCGCCAUCCCCAUCGUCUCGGUGUCGAACACGGGGAUGCCGGGGCUGUACUCCGGUGGCUGCAUCGCCAAGAUCUUGCGCCCGUGCGCGGCGAAGGACCACGAGUGCGGGUGCAGCGCCUCCAUGCGGACGAACGGGCGGGCACCGGCGUCCAUGCCGACGACGGCGUUGUUCGGGUCCGGGCCGAAGUCGUGCUCGUCGAACUUGUGGACGCUGUAGCCUCUCUCCCAGUCGUCCACCACCACGUACAGAUGCUGGUGCAUUGCCGACAUGGCAGGUUCAGACAGGCAUGAUUUGAGUGUGCAAGUAUAAUUUUGAAGUGACAGCCAAUGAGCUGCCUCUAAGCGCAUAUAUGACUAGAAGGAGCCACAAACUACUAAAAUGUUUUUGAGACCGUUUCAUGUGCACGGAGUUUAUUGUAGCUUCGCUGUGACUAAGUAUUUAGUGCUAUAGUUCUGUUUGGUAGAGCUUAUCUAGCUCCUGAUUCUAUGUAAAAAGUGAUUCUGCACUGGAAAAUGAUUAUCUAUGACUCUCUAGAAUCA